CUACGGGGCGCUGCAGUGGGGAAUUUUGGACAAUGGGCGCAAGCCUGAUCCAGCCAUGCCGCGUGCGGGAAGAAGGCCUUCGGGUUGUAAACCGCUUUUGUCAGGGAAGAAAUCCUUUGGGUUAAUACCUCGGGGGGAUGACGGUACCUGAAGAAUAAGCACCGGCUAACUACGUGCCAGCAGCCGCGGUAAUACGUAGGGUGCAAGCGUUAAUCGGAAUUACUGGGCGUAAAGCGUGCGCAGGCGGUUGUGCAAGACAGAUGUGAAAUCCCCGGGCUUAACCUGGGAACUGCAUUUGUGACUGCACGGCUUGAGUGCGGCAGAGGGGGAUGGAAUUCCGCGUGUAGCAGUGAAAUGCGUAGAUAUGCGGAGGAACACCGAUGGCGAAGGCAAUCCCCUGGGCCUGCACUGACGCUCAUGCGCGAAAGCGUGGGGAGCAAACAGGAUUAGAUACCCUAGUAGUC
rnacentral:rRNA from 1 species